rnacentral:rRNA from 1 species
AUACGGAGGGUGCAAGCGUUGUCCGGAAUCACUGGGUGUAAAGGGUGUGUAGGCGGGACUGUAAGUCAGAGGUGAAAUCCCACGGCUCAACCGUGGAACUGCCUUUGAUACUGCAGUUCUUGAGUAUCGGAGAGGUUGCUGGAAUUCGUGGUGUAGCGGUGAAAUGCGUAGAUAUCACGAGGAACACCAGAGGCGUAGGCGGGCAACUGGACGAUUACUGACGCUGAGGCACGAAAGCGUGGGGAGCAAACAGGAUUAGAUACCCUGGUAGUCCACGCUGUAAACGAUGAAUGCUCGAUGUUGCACCAAUUGCGGUGCAGUGUCUAAGCUAACGCGUUAAGCAUUCCACCUGGGGAGUACGCUCGCAAGAGUGAA